rnacentral:rRNA from 1 species
UAUGUAGGGGGCAAGCGUUGUCCGGAUUUAUUGGGCGUAAAGAGCGUGUAGGCGGCUGGGUAGGUCCGCUGUGAAAACUCGAGGCUUAACCUCGAGACGUCGGUGGAAACCCUCCAGCUAGAGUCCGGAAGAGGAGAGUGGAAUUCCUGGUGUAGCGGUGAAAUGCGCAGAUAUCAGGAAGAACACCCGUGGCGAAAGCGGCUCUCUGGGACGGUACUGACGCUGAGACGCGAAAGCGUGGGGAGCGAACAGG